rnacentral:sRNA from 1 species
AAAGCCGGGAGUCCGGUGAACGGGCAGAAGCAGGGCCAUGCCCAAGCCACCCCCAAGAUCCCCCUGAACCUGCGCCUCCAUCACGACCCAUUCAGGUGCCUCCAGGAGCCCAGACACCAGCCCCCCACCAUGGGCAGCAAGGAGCGCUUCCACUGGCAGAGCCACAAUGUGAAGCAGAGCGGUGUGGACGACAUGGUGCUUCUUCCCCAGAUCACUGAAGACGCCAUCGCUGCCAACCUCCGGAAGCGCUUCAUGGACGACUACAUCUUCACCUACAUUGGCUCCGUGCUCAUCUCCGUAAACCCCUUCAAGCAGAUGCCCUACUUCACCGACCGUGAGAUCGACCUCUAUCAGGGCGCGGCCCAGUAUGAGAAUCCCCCGCACAUCUACGCCCUCACAGACAACAUGUACCGGAACAUGCUUAUCGACUGUGAGAACCAGUGUGUCAUCAUUAGUGGAGAGAGUGGAGCUGGGAAGACAGUGGCAGCCAAAUACAUCAUGGGCUACAUCUCCAAGGUGUCUGGCGGAGGCGAGAAGGUCCAGGUGAGACGAGGAAAACAGAAGGAUGAGCUGGGUCGCCCUCACCUGCAUGGUAGUGCAGCCCCACCCAUCUGCACUCCUGCCUCAGUCUGACUUCUUCCCACCCCACCUGCCUCUGCCCCAGCACGUCAAAGAUAUCAUCCUGCAGUCCAACCCACUGCUGGAGGCCUUCGGCAAUGCCAAGACUGUGCGCAACAACAAUUCCAGCCGCUUCGGCAAGUACUUUGAGAUCCAGUUCAGCCGAGGUGGGGAGCCAGAUGGGGGCAAGAUCUCCAACUUCUUGCUGGAGAAGUCCCGCGUGGUCAUGCAAAAUGAAAAUGAGAGGAACUUCCACAUCUACUACCAGCUGCUGGAAGGGGCCUCCCAGGAGCAAAGGCAGAACCUGGGCCUC